GUGGGGAAUAUUGCACAAUGGGCGAAAGCCUGAUGCAGCAACGCCGCGUGAGCGAUGGAGGCCUUCGGGUCGUAAAGCUCUGUCCUCAAGGAAGAUAAUGACGGUACUUGAGGAGGAAGCCCCGGCUAACUACGUGCCAGCAGCCGCGGUAAUACGUAGGGGGCUAGCGUUAUCCGGAAUUACUGGGCGUAAAGGGUGCGUAGGUGGUUUUUUAAGUCAGAAGUGAAAGGCUACGGCUCAACCGUAGUAAGCUUUUGAAACUAGAGAACUUGAGUGCAGGAGAGGAGAGUAGAAUUCCUAGUGUAGCGGUGAAAUGCGUAGAUAUUAGGAGGAAUACCAGUAGCGAAGGCGGCUCUCUGGACUGUAACUGACGCUGAGGCACGAAAGCGUGGGGAGCAAACAGGAUUAGAAACCCGAGUAGUCC
rnacentral:rRNA from 1 species